ACGCUCGACACCUACGGGGGCAACAGUGGGGAAUAUUGCACAAUGGGGGAAACCCUGAUGCAGCAACGCCGCGUGAAGGAAGACGGUUUUCGGAUUGUAAACUUCUGUUCUUAGUGAAGAUAGUGACGGUAGCUAAGGAGCAAGCCACGGCUAACUACGUGCCAGUAGCCGCCGGUAAUACUGAGGCGGGCGUGGCGAAGGACG
rnacentral:rRNA from 1 species